UACAGAGGUCUCAAGCGUUGUUCGGAUUCAUUGGGCGUAAAGGGUGCGUAGGUGGCAUGGUAAGUCGGAUGUGAAAUCCCGGGGCUCAACCCCGGAACUGCAUUCGAUACUGCUGCGCUAGAGUACUGGAGAGGAGAUUGGAAUUUACGGUGUAGCAGUGAAAUGCGUAGAUGUCGUAAGGAAGACCAGUGGCGAAGGCGGAUCUCUGGACAGUUCCUGACGCUGAGGCACGAAGGCCAGGGGAGCAAACGGG
rnacentral:rRNA from 1 species